rnacentral:tRNA from 1 species
GAAAUUUUAGUUAAUUCAUAACAUUAGUUUGUCAAACUAAAAUUAUUAUAAAAAUAUUUUUCU